UAUUUUAUAAAUCCAAAUCGGUCACCAACCUACAAUAGUAGGUUACCUUGCCACGUGUCACAUUUUGAUUUGCCUAAUUUAUUUAUUUUUUUCAUUUUUUUUAAAAAAACUUUAUUUUUUUUUUCAGUUCCCCUUCCCCUUCCCCUUCCUUCAUCCACUCAAGCUUAGAGCAGCCAGCCUCCCCAAACUCACUACCAAAUCGAAGACUCACCAUCGGCACCCACCACCAGAUCGAAGUCCCACCACCGGCAGCACCAUCACAAACCCAGGAACACGACACCUAGAAACACUAUGGGUGAAAGUGAAUCGGUGUAAAACCGAACCGAACCGAAAAACCGAACCGUAUAAGGAAUGUGGUUCGGUUUUUUGGGAGGGUGGUUCGGUUUCGGUGUCAAAAAUAAAAAAAUUUCGGUUUUCGGUUCGGGAAAUUGAAAAACCGAACAAAACCGAAUUAUAAGCCCAAUCCUACAAAACCCCUGCCUGGCCCAAAAUUAAAUACCCUAGGUAUAUAAUGAAAAAUAAAAAAAACCCUAAUUCCUCUAAUCCUCUCAGCCUUUCUCCACUCUUUCGUCCCCUCUCCUGUCUCCUCUGAGUCUCUGACCACCGUCCAGUACACCAGGGCACCAGGCGACCAUCGUCCACGGUCCACCUGCUUCUCUCUCUCCUGUCUUCUCCUACUAAUUAAGGCCAAUGGCAACCAAUGUGGGUGUCAAUGACCACCCUGAACUCGAACCUGAGACUGACCAAUCUGACUGUAACAAAAAAGAAGGUGUAAAAAGGAAGAGGAUGAAAGAGCGGUCUGAAGUUUGGGAGCAUUUUGUGAAAGAAGACUUACCUUCUGGAAGGCAGGCAACUUGCAAGUAUUGUGGGAUGAGCUAAAAGUGCGGGGCAAAGAAAAACGGCACUAGUGUGUUAUGGGCUCAUAUUAACCGUUGUCGUAAGUAUCCCUAUAGCACCCCUAAAGAUUCAAAACAAAGUUUGCUUUCAUUCAAAAGUGCUAAAGUAACAAGUGCUGCUCGUGGUACUAGUGGGUUGACAUACCACAAAUUUGAUGCUGGUAGUAUUAGAAAAGCUUUGUCGUAUAUGGUAAUUGUUGAUGAACUUCCAUUUAAGUUUGUUGAAGGUGUAGGUUUUAGACACUUUUGUGGUGUAAUGGAACCUAGAUUUAAUGUUCCUUCUCGAAUUACAGUAGCAAAAGAUUGUUUUGAAACUUAUUUAACUGAGAAAAGAAAGCUGAAAAAUCAAUUAAAGAAAUGUAAUUCAAGAGUUUCUUUAACCACUGAUACUUGGACCUCUAUACAACAAAUCAAUUACAUGUGCUUGACUGUCCACUUCAUUGAUAAUGACUGGAAAUUACACAAAAGAAUUCUGAAUUUUUGUCCUAUUUCUAGUCAUAAGGGUGAUGAUAUUGGCAAAGAAAUUGAAAAAUGUUUGCUUGAUUGGGGGCUUGAAAAAGUCAUGUGUAUAACUGUUGAUAAUGCUAGCUCAAAUGAUACUGCAAUUGGGUAUUUGAGAAGGAAAAUGAAUGCUAGCUCAAAUGCUUGUUGUGUUAGUGAGAAUAGUGACUUAGUGUGUUGAUUAAUGAGGCCUAAUUUGCAGAUUAUUGGCCCAAAUAAAGGAGGCCCUAAAAAAUCGGUUUGGUUCGAUUUUUUAUUCUGAAACCGAAAUAAAUAUGGUUUGGUUUGGUUCGGUUUCUAAAGUAAAGUGGUGCGGUGUGAUUUCUAAAAUCAAGAAACCGAAUUAAGGUGGUUCGGUUUUGGUUUGGGCCAAAAACCAAAACGAACACCGAACUUUCACCCCUAAGAAACACCCUCCAACCUUCCUGACCCUCGAACCCAAAAAACCCCACCACCAUCACGUAAAACCAGAAUAAAAACCCAUCCAUCCUCCCCCAAAGCCUUGCUCAAAACCAUCAAAAACCCCUACCCCACCGCCAAUUUUUGUGUUUCGGGGUGUUUGGAGUGGUUUUCGUAGCAUAUCUUGUGGGUGUCCGGACGAAUUUUUCCCAAAACCAUCGAAAACCCGACCUUCUUCCCUCUUCUUUCUCUCUCUGUUUCAAUUUCCAUCAAUUUGCAGGAAAUCUUUGAUCUUCAAAACCCUAGAAUUUACCCUCAAUUUGAUUAGAGUUUUGCAAGAUCAAGAAUAGAGCUGCCUUAAAUAUUCAAUAUUUUUAUCAAAAAUAAUCGAUCCUAGGGGACUUGAUUUGGAAUUUUGGGUUGGUUAUUGUGGGAAAGAAGAAUUUUGGGUUAUAUCGGGAAUUAUUAUGGAGGUAAUCAAUUGAAUGGAGGAUGAUUGAUGGUUAGGCGGAGUUGGUGGUUGAGUUGCGCUUCUGCAGUGACUGUGGGAGGUGAUGUUGUGAGAUGCACCAGGGGCAAGGUGGCCGAUUUCUGUAGAUGGGUGGCGUCAUGGCGAUGGUGGAGCUGAGGAGCUACGUUGGUGUGUAUUGUUUGAAGUUGUAGUUGAUGCAGGUGGGUUUUCCGGCGACUUCCGGCGGCGGUGGAAGGCAGGGGUAGAGGUUAUUUCCCAGCGAGUGAGGGAGGGGGUAGGGUGUUUUUCGGGGAAGGGGUGGGGGAAGGGGUGGGGGCUGGUGUUGGGGUGUUUUUUUUUUUUACUUUUUUAUUUUUAAAAUUUAAUUUUUGUUAAAAAAUUGUAAAAGAAAAUAAUGUUUAAAAAAUUGCCUAAAGAGAAGGUAAUCUGUCAUAUUGGCAUGAUAAAAAAGAAUAACCCCUAAAGCUUGGAUUAUUCAGGAAUAAUCUAAAGGUUGGAUUAUUAAAAAUAAAUACGUCAAAAGUUGAAUUAUUUAAAUCAAAUUUUCAAGUGACAUAAAUCGGCUUCAUCUACCAUCCCACAUUGGAAACCUUCGUAGCCUUCAGACCCUCCCUCUGUUCAUUGUGGGUGAUAGUCUUAAAGGAUAUUGUAUUUCAGAGUUGAAGAAUAUGAAUUGUCUUAAAGGGUCAAUUUGCAUCCAACAUCUUGACUAUGUCCAAAAUCGAGCCAUGGCAAAGGAGGCCAUGUUUAGCAACAAGUUGUUGCUAGAAAAAAUAGUAUUGCAAUGGAUGAGAUUGGUGGAUGCAACUAUUGCCGAUGAUGUACUCGAUGGCCUAGAACCUCAUGUUUGUUUGAGAGAGUUGCAUAUAAUAAAAUACAUUGGCAAGUUGUUUCCGGAAUGGAUUUGUGAUCCAUCGCGAAGCCUUCAAAAGAGGGAAAUUCCCUGUUUCUCAUGGUGAGAUACGAAAUUUGUUUCUCAUGGGGGCAUUUUCGUGAAUAAAUCAACAACUUUUUCAUUAUUGUGGGUUCCACAGUUGAAUAAAGUUGUUGGUUUAUUUACGAAAAUGCCAUGUGAGAAUCACCAUGAGAAACUGGGACAUCCUCUUCAAAAGAUACACUUGAUGAAAUGUCCAUCAUGUGAGAUCUUGCCAGCACUUGGUGAGCUUCAAACUCUUAAGACUCUUGUCAUUGAAGAAUUUUCCAGUGUAACAGCUGUGGAUCGCUGCUUUUGUGGAACAUCCAGUGUUACUACGGACGUCUAUUUUCCAUCAUUGGAAUCACUGACAUUCAAGAAGUUGGUAAAACUUCAGAAUUGGACAGGAUUGGAAGUAAAUGACAUGCCUCGCCUUCGAAUUCUCAAAAUUGAGAAUUGUCCUGAGUUCAUCAACUUGCCUUCACUCAAGAAUCUUACUUCAUUAGUUGAAUUAAAGAUUGAACGUUGUCCAACAAUGAUAUCAUUGCCAGAGCUACCUCCUUCUCUCGAGUCACUCAAGAUAAGAGAGAGUAAUUUACUCAAAGAUCGAUGUGCUAUUGAAUGUGAAGAUUGGAAGAAGGUAGAUUGUAUUCCAUAUGUAGAGAUUGAUGACACAAGGAUCCCAACAUCGGGUGCCAAUAAUGUCCCAACACUGCCUACUCGGCCACAUCAAAACAUUGUUUACCAGGGAUAUCAACUUGUCAAGGACAACAUUGGAGCAUUUAGCCGACUCAUUUUGAGGGAUUAGCACACAGGGGAAGCAGAGUAUAUACACAAAAAGCAGUCUCAGGCCAUAUAGCAUGUCUUUGUUCGUUGUCAAAACUUUCCAAGUCAACCGAGCCUCCCUUUUACAAAUAUAGCUGAAGCUCCUAAGGCAUUGGACAGAAGAGCCAUACAUUGGACAUUGGCUAAAUAUGUGCAUUAUUUCUUUGAUUUGGGGAAACUUUGCAGCAAUUGAAUAAGUAUUCUGGUGGACAUACUAUAUAAAUUUAUCUUAUGUUGGAGUUUCACUGCGUAUUUAGUUAUGUUGUUGUAACAAAUAUUGUUAGGGUGCAUGAUAUUGUCCUUCCUAGAAGGUAAUCCUCAUGACAUUCUUUUGCUAGAGUAAGACAUACACUCGUAUUAUUUCCUAAAAUUUCUGCUCAUUGUUACUAGAGCGCCUAAACAAGUUCACUGGAGUUGUUGCAAUUAAAUAAUACUUUAUCUAAUUAAGACCAAUUAUUCA